GAUGAACGCUGGCGGUAUGCCUAACACAUGCAAGUCGUACGAGAGUUUUUAACUCUAGUGGCGGACGGGUGAGUAACACGUGAGAAUUUGCCUUUAGGAGGGGGACAACAAUUGGAAACGAAUGCUAAUACCCCAUAUGCUUUCGAGUGAAAUGGAUUUUAUCCGCCUAGAGAGAAGCUCGCGGCUGAUUAGCUUGUUGGUAAGGUAAGAGCUUACCAAGGCGACGAUCAGUAUCUGGUUUGAGAGGACGAUCAGACACACUGGAACUGAGACACGGUCCAGACUCCUACGGGAGGCAGCAGUGGGGAAUUUUCCGCAAUGGGCGAAAGCCUGACGGAGCAAUACCGCGUGAGGGAAGAAUGCCUAUGGGUUGUAAACCUCUUUUUUCUAGGGAGGAAUAAAAUAGACGUGUACCUGAAGAAUAAGACAUCGGCUAACUACCGUG
rnacentral:rRNA from 1 species